UACGGAGGGUGCAAGCGUUGUCCGGAUUUAUUGGGUUUAAAGGGUGCGUAGGCGGCCCGUUAAGUCAGUGGUGAAAGCCUCCAGCUCAACUGGAGAACUGCCAUUGAUACUGACGGGCUUGAGUACAGAUGCUGUGGGCGGAAUAUGACAUGUAGUGGUGAAAUACAUAGAGAUGUCAUAGAACACCGAUUGCGAAGGCAGCUCACAAAACUGUAACUGACGCUGAGGCACGAAAGUGCGGGGAUCAAACAGG
rnacentral:rRNA from 1 species